GUCGUGAGAUGUUGGGUUAAGUCCCGCAACGAGCGCAACCCCCGUCGCAUGUUGCCAGCAUUUAGUUGGGGACUCAUGCGAGACUGCCGGUGACAAACCGGAGGAAGGUGGGGAUGACGUCAAGUCAUCAUGCCCCUUAUGUCCGGGGCUACACACGUGCUACAUUGGCGCGUACAGAGGGCUGCGAUACCGCGAGGUGGAGCGAAUCCCUCAAAGCGCGUCUCGGUUCGGAUUGCAGGCUGAAACCCGCCUGCAUGAAGGUGGAGUUGCUAGUAAUCGCGGAUCAGCAUUGCCGCGGUGAAUACGUUCCCGGGCCUUGUACACACCGCCCGUCACACCACGGGAGUGGGUAACACCCGAAGCCGGUGGCCUAACCCUCUGGGAGGGAGCCGUCGAAGGUGGGACCCGUGACUGGGGUGAAGUCGUAACAAGGUAGCCGUAGCGGAAGCUGCGGCUGGAUCACCUCCUUUCUAGGGAGCCCCUAUAAGGGGCCCGUGCCGGCACGAAGCCAUUGCGCCUCGUCGUCAGCGGCUCGCACUCGUGCGAGUGCGCCGCGACGAGGGUCGGCGAUGGCGAUCGGCCGCGCGGCUAGAACGUCGACCGGACCUGGCCGGCCAUUUCUAACGAACCGCCCCUACGGGCGGGGCCGGUCGCAUGCUGUUGAGUUUUGAGAGACCGGGGCGGGGAAUCCCCCCGCCGCGACCCUCUUGGCGGUCCUUGAAAACUGCAGAUGCGAAGCCGACGUGUGAACAUCGAUAAGCGUUCACACGUCAACGGGUAUCACCACGCCGGAGCUCUUGUUCCUUGCUCCGGUGUGAUCACCGUCAAGAUAGUAAGGGCACACGGUGGAUGCCUUGGCACCUAGAGGCGAAGAAGGGCGUGGACGACUGCGAUAAGCCACGGUGAGGCGUUGAACAGCCUUUGACCCGUGGAUGC
rnacentral:sRNA from 1 species